UGUGUUUCGAGUUGCGUGGUCGUGCGGAGUUAUAUCAAAAUUAUCAAAUACCAAUAUGUCAAUAUGGCUACUGGGUGUAAAAGAUAAAUCUUAUUCUAUCUGUUCUUAAUGAGUUUUAGAUAAUUUUAGUUGUAUUUCUUUGUAAUUUUGUGUUGUACAAAGAUUAAUUUAACAUUUUCUCUGGAAGUAUUAAUUUAGAAAGAUAAUAUGCUUCAUUGGUGUUGUGUUUUGAAGUGUGAAAUGCAAAGUAAUUGUGAUAGUCAAGAUAAAGUUCACUUUUAAACUGAACUAAAUAAGGUAUCUGAGAGACAACAAUGGUUAAAUGCAAUACAAUGUACAGGUUUUACUAGCGAAAUGAAAAUUUUCCUGUCCUGUCUGCUGUAAUCAUUUUAUAUCUGGAAAACCAGCCGACUUAAUCGAUAAUAACAAUCUCCAGAUUGGGUUCCUUCAAUAAAUAUGGUCUAUAAACACAAUGAAAUAAGUUCCCCAAAAUCUAAAAUGGAGUGGUAUCAAAGGAGAAUUAAAGGGAAAAAUAUUCAUAUUGAAAUUAUUUAUAAGGCACUGGACUGUCUUAAAUUCUACAAUAAUACUAGAAUCAGCUGAGAGAAGUGGUCUACAAAAAACCAGGAAGGAAACGGAAUAUGUGGCUACGAAAGGCAAAAGAAAGGUUUACAAAGCAAAUGUGACACAUUUUUUUGAAAUAUUUAGGAGUAUCAGUAAAUUGCAUUAAAAAAAUGUAUGAAAAGAUUUUGUUCAAUAAAAAUGUUUAUAUUUA